CUACGGGUGGCACCAGUGGGGAAUUUUGCGCAAUGGGCGAAAGCCUGACGCAGCAAUACCGCGUGAGUGAAGAAGGCCUUUGGGUCGUAAAGCUCUUUUCUGGGGGAAGAUAGUGACGGUACCCCAGGAAUAAGCACCGGCUAACUCCGUGCCAGCAGCCGCGGUAAUACGGAGGGUGCAAGCGUUGUUCGGAUUUACUGGGCGUAAAGGGCACGUAGGCGGCACAGCAAGUUAAGGGUGAAAUCCCGGGGCUCAACUCCGGAACUGCUCUUAAAACUGCUGAGCUAGAGAUGGUCAGAGGCGGGUAGAAUUCCUGGUGUAGAGGUGAAAUUCGUAGAUAUCAGGAGGAAUACCGGUGGCGAAGGCGGCCCGCUGGGGCCAUUCUGACGCUAAGGUGCGAAAGCGUGGGGAGCGAACGGGAUUAGAUACCCUAGUAGUC
rnacentral:rRNA from 1 species